rnacentral:rRNA from 1 species
GCGCAGGCGGCAUGUUAAGUCGGCGGUGAAAUUUUGCAGCUCAACUGUAAAAGAGCCUUCGAAACUGGCAAGCUUGAGUGUGGAUGAAGUAGGCGGAAUUUGUGGUGUAGCGGUGAAAUGCAUAGAUAUCACAAAGAACACCGAUUGCGCAGGCAGCUUACUAAACCAUAACUGACGCUCAUGCACGAAGGCGUGGGGAUCAAACAGGAUUAGAUACCCUGGUAGUCCACGCAGUAAACGAUGAUUACUGGCUGUUUGCGAUACAAUGUAAGCGGCUGAGCGAAAGCGUUAAGUAAUCCACCUGGGGAGUACGUUCGCAAGAAUGAAACUCAAAGGAAUUGACGGGGGCCCGCACAAGCGGAGGAACAUGUGGUUUAAUUCGAUGAUACGCGAGGAACCUUACCCGGGCUUGAAAUGCAUCUGACGUAUUUGGAAACAGAUAUUCCCUACGGGGCAGAUGUGUAGGUGCUGCAUGGUUGUCGUCAGCUCGUGCCGUGAGGUGUCGGCUUAAGUGCCAUAACGAGCGCAACCCUCAUCGUCAGUUACCAUCAGGUAGAGCUGGGGACUCUGACGAGACUGCCAUCGUAAGAUGCGAGGAAGGUGGGGAUGACGUCAAAUCAGCACGGCCCUUACGUCCGGGGCGACACACGUGUUACAAUGGGUGGUACAAGGGCAGCUACCUGGCGACAGGAUGCUAAUCUCCAAAACCACUCUCAGNUUCGGAUCGGAGUCUGCAACUCGACUCCGUGAAGCUGGAUUCGCUAGUANUCGCGCAUCAGCCACGGCGCGGUGAAUACGUUCCCCGGGNCUUUGUACACACCGNCCCGUCAAGCC